rnacentral:rRNA from 1 species
CACGUAGGGCGCGAGCGUUGUCCGGAAUUAUUGGGCGUAAAGAGCUCGUAGGCGGCCUGUUGCGUCCGCUGUGAAAGCCCGGGGCUUAACCCCGGGUCGGCAGUGGAUACGGGCAGGCUAGAGGUAGGUAGGGGAGAAUGGAAUUCCCGGUGUAGCGGUGAAAUGCGCAGAUAUCGGGAGGAACACCGGUGGCGAAGGCGGCAUCCUGGACCGGCAUUGACGCUGAUGAGCGAAAGCCAGGGGAGCAAACGGG